UACGUAGGGGGCAAGCGUUGUCCGGAAUCAUUGGGCGUAAAGAGCGUGUAGGCGGCCAGACAGGUCCGCUGUGAAAACUCGAGGCUCAACCUCGAGAUGUCGGUGGAAACCGUCUGGCUAGAGUCCGGAAGAGGAGAGUGGAAUUCCCGGUGUAGCGGUGAAAUGCGCAGAUAUCGGGAAGAACACCCGUGGCGAAGGCGGCUCUCUGGGACGGUACUGACGCUGAGACGCGAAAGCGUGGGGAGCGAACAGG
rnacentral:rRNA from 1 species